GGGGAAUAUUGGACAAUGGGCGCAAGCCUGAUCCAGCAAUGCCGCGUGUGUGAAGAAGGCCUUCGGGUUGUAAAGCACUUUUAUCAGGAGCGAAAUACGAUGGGCUAAUACCCCGUCGGGCUGACGGUACCUGAGGAAUAAGCACCGGCUAACUUCGUGCCAGCAGCCGCGGUAAUACGAAGGGUGCAAGCGUUAAUCGGAAUUACUGGGCGUAAAGCGUGCGUAGGCGGUGAUUUAAGUCUGCUGUGAAAUCCCCGGGCUCAACCUGGGAAUGGCAGUGGAUACUGGAUCGCUAGAGUGUGAUAGAGGAUGGUGGAAUUCCCGGUGUAGCGGUGAAAUGCGUAGAGAUCGGGAGGAACAUCAGUGGCGAAGGCGGCCAUCUGGAUCAACACUGACGCUGAGGCACGAAAGCGUGGGGAGCAAAC
rnacentral:rRNA from 1 species